UGGAGAAGCAGGGCACGUGCGA
rnacentral:siRNA from 1 species